rnacentral:lncRNA from 1 species
UAAAAUUAAAGUGAAUUUAUUCCCAGUGGUUGUGGCAAGAGCUUUAGUGAUCCUCCAUUUCACUGCAGAAACAAUUUCAUUGCAGAAGAGUUUUCAUUUCGAGUUGUGAUGGUGAAAAGUGACAGAGUCCCCAGCUGCACCAGUAAGAGCAGCAGGCUCCAAGCAUGGGGCUGUCACACAGGAUUAGUCAUGUCCUUAGCCACAGGAAAGCCGAGAAGAACAAAUCUUGUAUCCUACGGUUAGCAGGUUCCUUUCACAGUCAGUGUUUUUCUGCUUACCUGCUGCCUGGGUGGUGGUUUGCCUGAACUGUCGUCCCUGUUUCACCUUGUGCUUGUGGAAAGUCCAGUUAUCAGUGGUACUAAAGGGGUGGAGGUUUUGUUUUAAUGCUGAGUUCUGGCUCCCAUUUAUUUUACAGAUGAGGACCCUUCACCAAAAAUGCCUGACUUCUGUAAGAUGCACCAUUCCUGAAGUGGGAAGGAUGGGAGCUGGGAAAAAAAAAAAGCACACAGCACAGAGGAUGCUUUCUGCAUUGAGAAGUACCUCUUCUCAUGGAACAACCUUUUCGUCAUUAUAAGAAGAGGAUUUAUGGUAGGUAAAAGCACAGUCCUUGACCGUGGGAGGUCUGCAUUCAAUUUCUGUUCCUCAGACAUCCUAGGCAAGUGACUGCUGCUUUCUUGUGCAACUCUUCAGCUAUCAAAUAUUGCUGCUUCUCCCAGGCAUGUUGCAGGCAUUAGCAGAGCCAGGCCUGCCUCAGGCGGGCAGCCUGUGUGUGGCAGUGGGAUGGGCAGGCUUGCUCACUGCUGGUCACGAAGUUAACCGCUGGUUUCACAAUUGGAAGAGGCCUCAGCAGCAGCAGGGCAGGAAGCAGAACCGGUGGCUGGAAGUGACUAAGCUCGGGACUGGGGGUGGGGUGAGAGAAGCAGUUGCUGAUCAGGAGAGCCUGGCACUGCCUGAACAGGAAAUCCUGGAAGCGUGUGACCUUGAAGGGAAAUGCAGGGGUGGGAUUUGGACCUCUCACCGUCUGGGACAGCAGUGGCAUCAACAGGACGUGUCUCCUAAUACAAGCCUGCCUGUGGGAAUACAGCCUUGCAAGUAAAUACAGUCUAGUACUCAGCAAUCCAGGAAUGAGUAUAACGUGCCCCUAACCAUAAUCUUUAUCCACAUCUGGAAGGUUAUCAAAUGUCUUCCUCUAGCAACUCAAAGCUCUUGCUCC